rnacentral:lncRNA from 1 species
GCCACAUUAGGCUGUCUGAGAUGACGGUAUGAGACUUUGUAAUCCCUGCAAAUUCCCUUCUCACCCCAACCCUUUGCGUUCACGGUCUGGAUUUACCGACCUCCUGCGAAGAGCUUGCAGAGGUUAAAAGUGGCAUUAAUGGGUUGAGAGUUCCAGACCUGGGUGAAGGCAUCAUCUGCCAAUGAUCUCCAAAAGCCCAGUUUAGCAAGAGCCAUUAGACUGUCUGCUGUGUCUCCUGCCUCACAGCCCUACAGACUGUGGAGGGGCUCACAAGACCAUGCAUUAGAGGAAAACCAGAAGAGAGAAUUAUUUUGGAAUACACAUCGCUUCCAAACUCUUCUGAAUCGUGCCGAAAUGGAGGGACCUGCCUCAGUGAUGUGCCUGAGAACGUGCUGUGUAAAUGACUGUAAACCACUCUGUUUUGCUGAAAACCCAUCCGAGCUGGGACGACCCCAUCUCUCCAGGAACAGCAGCUGCUCUCGCAGGACGAUGAAGCAAAGGCGACGGUCAAACAGCAUCAGCAUGUGCACCUUGCCCAUCAUCCCAGAAUAUCCAGGCUUCCAGGACAUUAAGUUAUCAAGAAAUUAUUUGGAAGCUCCAGCCUUCAACCGACUUUUCCAGGAUUUGGAAAGAGGCAAGGGCUCCUCAUCACAACUGAGUCAUUUUCCAAGCAGGGCUUCCUUAGUCCAUUGCUUGGGGAGCUCUUCCAGGGGCUGUGUGAAAGGCCACCCGACAGCCAGCAGUGGCUUCCACGACAAGCCAUUGCAAGAGUAUUUCGACGAGAGGCUGAUGGAGCUGAGGAACUACGAAAGUAAGAGGUCAAAUAGGAAGACAAAAGCAUUUGCUGAUAAGUGCCAGAACCCCUUCCUCACCCGCAGAGGAUCUCGGCGCAGAAGCAGCUGCAGUGCCGUGGUGGUGGCCGGGCACGGCAAGGAGAGCGAGGAGUCCUGCAGCUCAGCAAACCCCGACAGCAAAAAAGGCAUCGAGCCCAACGACCGAGAGGAAACCCAGAGUGUCCUGGACCUCUACAAGGAUGACUUCUUGGACAUUCUGACCAUGCACAUUGCGGCUCCCCUAGAAGCGUUUGUGCAAAAAUAGUGACACUGGAGCUGGCUGUGGCUUUUCGUGUAGCCCUGACAACCAGGAGGAAUUGUUCCUGCUCAGCACCAUUCUGACUUAAGUAGUUCGUGUGUGUCAGUCCACUCUGAGACAGAAAUGUGCUUGUUUGUGGGAGAAAAUAUUCUCUCAUUUCGUGCUCUUGAUUAGCGUUGCAUAUAUUUGUUUUCAAUUAUUUUCUGCAAAGAAUCAGUAUAAUUGAGCCAUAGUUGUGAUUUAUGAUAUACAGAAAGCAGCAUUCUAAAUGCAUGCACGUAUUACUUGAAUUCUUAAGUUGCCUUAAAAAGAAGGUGAUUAGUGUCAGAGGAGCAGCUUGGUUUGUAUUAGCUAAUCUGAAGAGAGACUGGUGUGUUCUGCCUCGUUACUUUCAGCCUCUUGGUUUUUAUUGUGUCACUUUGGCCCAGCUCAUUUAGGGUGAUGUUUCACACAGGUUCAAAUAGUUGAUGAGAAAUGAGUGAUUUUCACUCAUUGCCACAUGUAAUCACCAGGUGCAUCAUUCUAAGUGUUCGAGGCAUGAAGCAGCAAACACAGACACAAGUUUUACUUUUAAAGAUGAUCAGCCAUUGUGGUUUCAUUUGCAGACUCAAAAACCUUUGACUUAAGAAGCACUUCAAGGGCAGAGAGGAAAAAAAUGCUAGAUUUAGGUGAGACUGAUGGAAGUAAGUAUGAAAGAAGGCUCCUUCCCUCUUUCUUAUUAUGAGAACAAUAUAGCAAAUUCCUAAUGCAAUCUGAACUUCAAAUUGUUUAUUGUAUGUAAGUGUUUAUCAUGGUCAUCGAAGUACAGCUGCAGCUGAGUCUUUUUAUUGCAUGAAGUUGAUGUUUAAUUCCCUGGUAGUACACUCAGACCCAAAGCAGGCAAUUAUUUUAAGCUUCCAGAAAGAACUACUACAGCCUGUGGUAUCGUCAGCAAUAAAUUCCUCAUU